rnacentral:rRNA from 2 species
GGGGCGAGUGGCGGACGGGUGAGUAACGCGUGGGAAUCUGCCCUCAGGAGGGGGAUAACGGCCGGAAACGGCCGCUAAUACCCCAUAUGCCGAGAGGUGAAAUGAAUUUCGCCUGAGGAUGAGCCCGCGUCUGAUUAGCUAGUUGGUGGGGUAAUGGCCCACCAAGGCGACGAUCAGUAGCUGGUCUGAGAGGAUGAUCAGCCACACUGGGACUGAGACACGGCCCAGACUCCUACGGGAGGCAGCAGUGGGGAAUUUUCCGCAAUGGGCGAAAGCCUGACGGAGCAACGCCGCGUGAGGGAUGAAGGCCUCUGGGCUGUAAACCUCUUUUCUCAAGGAAGAAGACAUGACGGUACUUGAGGAAUAAGCCACGGCUAAUUCCGUGCCAGCAGCCGCGGUAAUACGGGAGUGGCAAGCGUUAUCCGGAAUUAUUGGGCGUAAAGCGUCCGCAGGCGGCCUUGUAAGUCUGUCGUUAAAGCGUGGAGCUUAACUCCAUUUCAGCGAUGGAAACUACAAGGCUUGAGUGUGGUAGGGGCAGAGGGAAUUCCCGGUGUAGCGGUGAAAUGCGUAGAUAUCGGGAAGAACACCAGUGGCGAAGGCGCUCUGCUGGGCCAUAACUGACGCUCAUGGACGAAAGCCAGGGGAGCGAAAGGGAUUAGAUACCCCUGUAGUCCUGGCCGUAAACGAUGAACACUAGGUGUCGGGGGAAUCGACCCCCUCGGUGUCGUAGCUAACGCGUUAAGUGUUCCGCCUGGGGAGUACGCACGCAAGUGUGAAACUCAAAGGAAUUGACGGGGGCCCGCACAAGCGGUGGAGUAUGUGGUUUAAUUCGAUGCAACGCGAAGAACCUUACCAGGGUUUGACAUCCUGCGAAUCCCUUGGAAACGAGGGAGUGCCUUCGGGAGCGCAGAGACAGGUGGUGCAUGGCUGUCGUCAGCUCGUGUCGUGAGAUGUUGGGUUAAGUCCCGCAACGAGCGCAACCCACGUCUUUAGUUGCCAGCAUUCAGUUGGGCACUCUAGAGAGACCGCCGGUGAUAAACCGGAGGAAGGUGUGGAUGACGUCAAGUCAUCAUGCCCCUUACAUCCUGGGCUACACACGUACUACAAUGCUACGGACAAAGGGUUGCAAGCUCGCGAGAGUUAGCUAAUCCCAUAAACCGUGGCUCAGUUCAGAUCGUAGGCUGCAACUCGCCUACGUGAAGGAGGAAUCGCUAGUAAUCGCAGGUCAGCAUACUGCGGUGAAUACGUUCCCGGGCCUUGUACACACCGCCCGUCACACCAUGGAAGUUGGCCAUGCCCGAAGUCGUUACUCCAACCCUUGUGGAGGAGGACGCCGAAGGUGGGGCUGAUGACUGGGGUGAAGUCGUAACAAGGUAGCCGUACCGGAAGGUGCGGCUGGAUCACCUCCUA